UGAGGCAUUUCUAUGUUUUCACCCCCUACCUCCUGUCCUCGGCACUGCAUUAAUCACUCACACCUGCACCUGAUUUGGAACUCAUCACCUACAGGCUUUAUAAGGCUGAGCUGGAGUUCACCUCGUCGCUGAAGCAUCGCCUCUGUUGGAAGCUACCUCCAGCACGCCUGCCUCCCUGCCUGAGAAACACUUACUGCACUCUCCUGAGUUCCAUGUGCAGCCAGCCCCGAGGAUUUGUAAAUAUAACUGCACCUGUAAAUAUUCACCUGUGGAACCUCACCUGUUGGACCAACUCCUCCAAGACUCAUCUCCUUCUCCAACUUGUCCCGUCCCCAAGACCCCUGCACCUGUAUAUAAUAAAAUUCACUUACUUUUUACAUCAGUCCUCUGUCUC